rnacentral:rRNA from 1 species
UACGGGGGGGGCAAGCGGUUGUUCGGAAUUACUGGGCGUAAAGGGCUCGUAGGUGGCCAACUAAGUCAGACGUGAAAUCCCUCAGCUUAACUGGGGAACUGCGUCUGAUACUGGAUGGCUUGAGAUUGGGAGAGGGAUGCGGAAUUCCAGGUGUAGCGGUGAAAUGCGUAGAUAUCUGGAGGAACACCGAUGGCGAAGGCAAUCCCCUGGACCUGUACUGACGCUCAUGCACGAAAGCGUGGGGAGCAAACAGG